rnacentral:rRNA from 1 species
AAAUUGAAGAGUUUGAUCAUGGCUCAGAUUGAACGCUGGCGGCAGGCCUAACACAUGCAAGUCGAGCGGUAGCACAGAGAGCUUGCUCUCGGGUGACGAGCGGCGGACGGGUGAGUAAUGUCUGGGAAACUGCCUGAUGGAGGGGAUAACUACUGGAAACGGUAGCUAAUACCGCAUAAUGUCGCAAGACCAAAGUGGGGACCUUCGGGCCUCAUGCCAUCAGAUGUGCCCAGAUGGGAUUAGCUAGUAGGUGGGGUAACGGCUCACCUAGGCGACGAUCCCUAGCUGGUCUGAGAGGAUGACCAGCCACACUGGAACUGAGACACGGUCCAGACUCCUACGGGAGGCAGCAGUGGGGAAUAUUGCACAAUGGGCGCAAGCCUGAUGCAGCCAUGCCGCGUGUGUGAAGAAGGCCUUCGGGUUGUAAAGCACUUUCAGCGGGGAGGAAGGCGGUGAGGUUAAUAACCUCAUCGAUUGACGUUACCCGCAGAAGAAGCACCGGCUAACUCCGUGCCAGCAGCCGCGGUAAUACGGAGGGUGCAAGCGUUAAUCGGAAUUACUGGGCGUAAAGCGCACGCAGGCGGUCUGUCAAGUCGGAUGUGAAAUCCCCGGGCUCAACCUGGGAACUGCAUUCGAAACUGGCAGGCUAGAGUCUUGUAGAGGGGGGUAGAAUUCGAGGUGUAGCGGUGAAAUGCGUAGAGAUCUGGAGGAAUACCGGUGGCGAAGGCGGCCCCCUGGACAAAGACUGACGCUCAGGUGCGAAAGCGUGGGGAGCAAACAGGAUUAGAUACCCUGGUAGUCCACGCCGUAAACGAUGUCGAUUUGGAGGUUGUGCCCUUGAGGCGUGGCUUCCGGAGCUAACGCGUUAAAUCGACCGCCUGGGGAGUACGGCCGCAAGGUUAAAACUCAAAUGAAUUGACGGGGGCCCGCACAAGCGGUGGAGCAUGUGGUUUAAUUCGAUGCAACGCGAAGAACCUUACCUGGUCUUGACAUCCACAGAACUUUCCAGAGAUGGAUUGGUGCCUUCGGGAACUGUGAGACAGGUGCUGCAUGGCUGUCGUCAGCUCGUGUUGUGAAAUGUUGGGUUAAGUCCCGCAACGAGCGCAACCCUUAUCCUUUGUUGCCAGCGGUUCGGCCGGGAACUCAAAGGAGACUGCCAGUGAUAAACUGGAGGAAGGUGGGGAUGACGUCAAGUCAUCAUGGCCCUUACGACCAGGGCUACACACGUGCUACAAUGGCAUAUACAAAGAGAAGCGACCUCGCGAGAGCAAGCGGACCUCAUAAAGUAUGUCGUAGUCCGGAUUGGAGUCUGCAACUCGACUCCAUGAAGUCGGAAUCGCUAGUAAUCGUAGAUCAGAAUGCUACGGUGAAUACGUUCCCGGGCCUUGUACACACCGCCCGUCACACCAUGGGAGUGGGUUGCAAAAGAAGUAGGUAGCUUAACCUUCGGGAGGGCGCUUACCACUUUGUGAUUCAUGACUGGGGUGAAGUCGUAACAAGGUAACCGUAGGGGAACCUGCGGUUGGAUCACCUCCUUA